AACGAACGCUGGCGGCAGGCUUAACACAUGCAAGUCGAGCGCCCCGCAAGGGGAGCGGCAGACGGGUGAGUAACGCGUGGGAAUCUACCCAUCUCUACGGAAUAACGCAUGGAAACGUGUGCUAAUACCGUAUACGUCCUUCGGGAGAAGGAUUUACCGGAGAUGGAUGAGCCCGCGUUGGAUUAGCUAGUGGGUGGGGUAAAGGCCUACCAAGGCGACGAGCCAUAGCUGGUCUGAGAGGAUGAUCAGCCACACUGGGACUGAGACACGGCCCAGACGCCUACGGGAGGCAGCAGUGGGGAAUAUUGGACAAUGGGCGCAAGCCUGAUCCAGCCAUGCCGCGUGAGUGAUGAAGGCCCUAGGGUUGUAAAGCUCUUUCGCCGGUGAAGAUAAUGACGGUAACCGGAGAAGAAGCCCCGGCUAACUUCGUGCCAGCCGCCGCGGUAAAAC
rnacentral:rRNA from 1 species